rnacentral:rRNA from 1 species
GACUGUAUGGUCCGCCCGUCGGAUUCAGUCCGCCUGUGCGGCGUCGGCGCCGGCCGCGCAUCCCUCGUGGGAGCGCGCCGGCGUCCGGUCGUCGUGUGGCGGCCGUACUUUUGGCGGGGGGAGCGCCACGACCGGUUUGUCGGCGGCGAGAAACUCCCGGGCAAGGUGACCUUUGUCUCGGCGCAGGAGCAUACAGGCCCGGCGAGCGUCGGCCCGUCGGCGGACCGAGGAAGACCGUCGCGGAGCGGCGUCGACCGCCCGUCGUGUGGUCGCGUUCGACUCGGGGGGACUGGUUCCAGUGCCCUCGGACCGCGCGGCCGCAGCGGCGGGACGGCCAGGCGUCGCGCCUGGGGUCGGUGGCGAAACGGCCGGCAACCUGUCCGACCCGUCUUGAAACACGGACCAAGGAGUCUAACAUGUGCGCGAGUCGUUGGGCGCUACGAAACCCGAAGGCGCAAUGAAAGUGAAGGCCCGGUCUCCGGCCGGCCUGGGUGGGAUCCGGGCGGCCUCGGCCGUCCGGCGCACCACCGGCCCGUCUCGUUCGCCGCGUCGAAGAGGCGGAGCAAGAGCGUACACGUUGGGACCCGAAAGAUGGUGAACUAUGCCCGAGUAGGACGAAGCCAGAGGAAACUCUGGUGGAGGUCCGCAGCGAUUCCGAGAAACAAAUCA